UACGUAGGGUGCAAGCGUUGUCCGGAAUUAUUGGGCGUAAAGAGCUCGUAGGCGGUUUGUCGCGUCUGCUGUGAAAACUCGGGGCUUAACUCCGGGCCUGCAGUGGGUACGGGCAGACUAGAGUGCGGUAGGGGAGACUGGAAUUCCUGGUGUAGCGGUGAAAUGCGCAGAUAUCAGGAGGAACACCAGUGGCGAAGGCGGUUACCUGGAGCUUUGCUGACGCUGAUGCGCGAAAGCGUGGGGAGCGAACAGG
rnacentral:rRNA from 1 species